AACGAACGCUGGCGGCAUGCCUAACACAUGCAAGUCGAACGACACCUUCGGGGCUUGUGGCGCACGGGUUCGUAACGGGCGGGAAACUGCCCCUAGGUUCGGCAUAACUCCCCGAAAGGGGUGCUAAUACCGGACAAUGUCUUCGGCCCAAAGAUUUAUCGCCCUAGGAUGGGCCCGCGUUGGAUCAGCUUGUUGGUAGGGUAAAAGCCUACCAAGGCGACGAUCCAUAGCUGGUCAGAGAGGAUGGUCACCCACUCUGGCACUGGGACGCGGCCCAGACUCCUACGCGAGGCGGCAGUGGGGAAUGUUGGACAGUGGGCGAAAGCAUGAUCCAGCACUGCCGCGUGAGUGAUGAAGGCCUUAGAGUUGUAAAGCGCUUUUACCCGGGAUGUUAAUGACAGUACCGGGAGAGUAAGCUCCGGCUAACUCCGUG
rnacentral:rRNA from 1 species